rnacentral:rRNA from 1 species
GAUGAACGCUAGCUACAGGCUUAACACAUGCAAGUCGAGGGGAAACGACAUCGAAAGCUUGCUUUUGAUGGGCGUCGACCGGCGCACGGGUGAGUAACGCGUAUCCAACCUGCCCAUCACUUGGGAAUAACCUUGCGAAAGUAAGACUAAUACCCAAUGAUAUCCCACGAAGGCAUCGGAAUGGGAUUAAAGAUUUAUCGGUGAUGGAUGGGGAUGCGUCUGAUUAGCUUGUUGGCGGGGUAACGGCCCACCAAGGCAACGAUCAGUAGGGGUUCUGAGAGGAAGGUCCCCCACAUUGGAACUGAGACACGGUCCAAACUCCUACGGGAGGCAGCAGUGAGGAAUAGUGGGCAAUGGGCGAGAGCCUGAACCAGCCAAGUAGCGUGCAGGAAGACGGCCCUAUGGGUUGUAAACUGCUUUUAUAAGGGAAUAAAGUGGGUCACGUGUGACUUUUUGCAUGUACCUUAUGAAUAAGGACCGGCUAAUUCCGUG